rnacentral:rRNA from 1 species
GCAUAUCAAUAAGCGGAGGAAAAGAAACCAACAGGGAUUGCCCCAGUAACGGCGAGUGAAGCGGCAACAGCUCAGAUUUGGAAUCUGGCCCCCAGGGCCCGAGUUGUAAUCUGGAGAGGAUGCUUCUGGCGCGGCGCCUUCCGAGUUCCCUGGAACGGGACGCCGGAGAGGGUGAGAGCCCCGUACGGUUGGACGCCUAGCCUUUGUGAAGCUCCUUCGACGAGUCGAGUAGUUUGGGAAUGCUGCUCAAAAUGGGAGGUAAAUUUCUUCUAAAGCUAAAUACCGGCCAGAGACCGAUAGCGCACAAGUAGAGUGAUCGAAAGAUGAAAAGCACUUUGAAAAGAGGGUCAAACAGUACGUGAAAUUGUUGAAAGGGAAGCGCCCGUGGCCAGACUUGUGCCCCGCGGACCACCCGGCGCCCUCAGCGCCGGUGCACUCCGCGGGGCACAGGCCAGCAUCGGUUUUCCCAGGGGGAUAAAGGCGGCGGGAACGUGGCUCCCUCGGGAGUGUUAUAGCCCGCCGCGCCAUGCCCCUGGGGGGACCGAGGACCGCGCUUCGGCAAGGAUGCUGGCGUAAUGGCCACCGGCGACCCGUCUUGAAACACGGACCAAGGAGUCAAGCAUUGGGGCGAGUGUCUGGGUGCCAAACCCGCACGCGAAAUGAAAGUGAACGCAGGUGAGAGCUUCGGCGCAUCAUCGACCGAUCCUGAUGUUCUCGGAUGGAUUUGAGUAAGAGCCUUACCGCUUGGACCCGAAAGAUGGUGAACUAUGCCUGUAUAGGGUGAAGCCAGAGGAAACUCUGGUGGAGGCUCGCAGCGGUUCUGACGUGCAAAUCGAUCGUCAAAUAUGGGCAUGGGGGGCGAAAGACUAAUCGAACCAUCUAGUAGCUGGUUACCGCCGA